GAACCAUCAGAUAAGAAGAUAGGAGGCAACAAAAACAUUGGGAUAUGACCUGACAACCACAUGACUCUGUUGUAAGACAGUGAAGGAAAGGUGAAGAAAUCAGCAUGUAUGAAUCUUUCGGAAAAUGCAAAUCCUCAGUGCUGAUUUCAGAUUGGAAAACAAGAGCACUGCCAAUGUCAUGCCCCAAAGGAGAAACAUCCAAAAAACCCAACAAGGCGAGCCCAACACUUGUUAGAUAAAACUGGAGACACAAGGAGAACUUGCUUGUUGUGUUCCACAGAUAAAGCAUCAGAAAAUAGGAUGGGGCAAUCUGAACAGAAAGAGACGGAAACACCACAGCUGACAGGAGCCCUGUCCAAGUCUCCAUCCUAUUUUGGUGCCUCAGUGUUAUCUGCACAUUUCUGUUGAGUGAACAAAUAAAGGAACUAGUACCCGA